AUUGAACGCUGGCGGCAGGCCUAACACAUGCAAGUCGAGCGAGCGGCGGACGGGUGAGUAAUGUAUGGGAAUCUGCCUGAUGGAGGGGGAUAACUACUGGAAACGGUAGCUAAUACCGUAUACCAUCAGAUGAACCCAUAUGGGAUUAGCUAGUAGGUGAGGUAACGGCUCACCUAGGCGACGAUCCCUCGCUGGUCUGAGAGGAUGAUCAGCCACACUGGGACUGAGACAAGGCCCAGACUCCUACGGGAGGCAGCAGUGGGGAAUAUUGCACAAUGGGCGCAAGCCUGAUGCAGCCAUGCCGCGUGUAUGAAGAAGGCCUUCGGGUUGUAAAGUACUUUCAGUCGGGAGGCGUUACCGACAGAAGAAGCACCGGCUAACUCCGUGCCAGCAGCCGCGGUAAUAC
rnacentral:rRNA from 1 species